rnacentral:rRNA from 1 species
CGUCGUAAUCCUGUCUGAAGAUGGGGGACCAUCCUCCAAGGCUAAAUACUCGUAAUCGACCGAUAGUGAACUAGUACCGUGAGGAAAGGCGAAAGAACCCGGAGGGGAGUGAAAUAGAUCCUGAAACCGCAUGCAUACAAAAGUCGGAGCCCGCAAGGGUGACGGCGUACCUUUUGUAUAAUGGGUCAGCGACUUACAUUCAGUGGCAAGCUUAACCGAAUAGGGAAGGCGCAGGGAACCGAGUCCGAAUAGGGCGUUCAGUCGCUGGGUGUAGACCCGAAACCAAGUGAUCUAUCCAUGGCCAGGAUUAAGGUAGGGGUAACACCUGCUGGAGGUCCGAACCGACUAGUGUUGCAAAACUAGCGGAUGAGCUGUGGAUAGGGGUGAAAGGCUAAACAAACUUGGAGAUAGCUGGUUCUCUCCGAAAACUAUUUAGGUAGUGCCUCAAGUAUUACCAUUGGGGGUAGAGCACUGUUAUGGCUAGGGG